AGGGGCAGGUGGGUGAUGGGUAUUGAGGAGGGCACCUGUUGGAAUGAGUACUGGGUGUUGUAUGGAAACCAAUUUGACAAUAAAUUUCAUAUUAAAAAAAAAAGGAAUUCUUCAGUUUUCAUGAAAAUAAAUUAAAAAGAGAAUUUGUAUUGUCAAUUUCAGUGCCUUAAAAUUUCACAUGGAGAAAAAGCUCCAAAAUUAUGUAUGUCUUCUUUCUCCAUAAUUUUUUUAUUUUGCAUAAAAUAAUACCCACAAGAAAAAAAAUAAACACUCAAAAACAAUUUUUUUUAAAAAAGAAGUUUUCUGUUCUUAAAUGUGUCUACCAUUGUCCUCACGCAAAGACCUAACUGUAUUUCAGAUAAUGGAGGACAGACAUUGGCAGGGGGCAAUAACUGGCCCCUUCGAGGAAGAAAAUGGAGCCUGUGGGAAGGAGGCAUUCGAGGAGUGGGCUUUGUGGCAAGCCCCUUGCUGAAGCAGAAGGGUGUGAAGAACCGGGAGCUCAUCCACAUUUCUGACUGGUUGCCGACUCUCGUGAAGCUGGCCAGGGGAAGCACAAAAGGCACCAAGCCUCUGGAUGGCUUUGAUGUGUGGAAAACCAUCAGUGAAGGAAGCCCAUCCCCCAGAAAGGAGCUGCUGCAUAAUAUCGACCCAAACUUUGUGGAUAUUUCACCGUGUGAGUACCUUGUUUAUUGCUACUAAACUGAAUCCCUUUGGCUCACGAACACAGUUUUACUGCCUGGUUUGUCUCUAGCCUAACGUUCUCCUUUGCCACUUGAGUUUGCUGACAGGGUAAACAGUUCUCCAUAACACCUGCUGUACUGAUCACAUCGUGGCUUCAGUGGCACAGGGGGUAAAUUCUGUUCUUGGCUCUGCCUAUUACUAGCUAUGUGAUCUUCCAGCCAUUUCAUCUCCCUGCCUCAGCUUUUCCUGAGGGUCCUAGAGGCUCCUGCUCACUGUGGGAGUCAUGUUAUUGUUGUUGCCUUUUUCUCACCUGAGAGUUCCAGAGCCUUCUUCCAGGAAACCCAAGGUCAAAUAAGCUACCACAUCAUCUGAUGGAGCUGGCCAGCUGCUACCCAGCACCUGCUGCAUCACACAGGUGUGACUCACCCAGCAAUCCUGGAAGUAAUUUAGCUUGAUUCUGGCUACUGCCAAGAUUAAGCCAUAGGUAGCCCCAUUGAUUCUGCAGGGAAGGAAGCCAUUUGUGCUCUCAGGUCACUACAGUUUGUAACAGUGCUGUGUAAAUGCCAUGCUAGUGGCCCUGAGGACCCAAGCUUAGUGAGUUUGGGCCUGGAAAGCCUUAACUCUUAGGCCCUUUGUCCAGCCUCCAUCAUAAAGCCUGGUGUCUUCAGAAAAUAAUGCUCCUCCAUUUCUUUCAUUCAUUGUACAUUCGCCUCCUUUCUAGGUAUACUGCCACCCCCUUUAUUCGUUCCUUCCUUCAGGCUCUCCUUACUUCUUUGUCCUCUCCAGUCUGUGUCACAGCCUGGCACAGGGUUUCCUUGCUUGGACAGCAACCCCACAGUAACUCUGUCCACGGGCAUCCGCGGCCCCACUCUCCCACCUGCCACUCCUUGCCCUGCUAGACGCUUGCCUUUUCUAAGGAGGCAGAUCGUCCUAUUUUUGUCUUGAAAAUGCUUUUCUCUGUGGCUGAAACACCUUACCCUGCCCUCCCACAGGUUCUCCUCAUUCCUUAAAACUCAAUAGAAACGUCCCAUCUAUGUGAACACUCCUUGGAGCCCCAGAAAGUCCUUCCUCAGCAUCCCUUUGUACAUAUCUGUGUGUAAAUCCUUCAUCGAAUUCUCUUAUACUGUGCCUUCAUUUCCCACUAAGCUGAGAGCUCCUGGAAGUCAAGCUCUGUGGCUGAUUCAUCUUUUCAUCCUCAUAAGUUAACAUGAAUACCCAGCACUGGGUAGGCCCUUGGUAAUAAUUUCGUGAUGACUAAUGGAGGGGCGUUGGGAUAGCAUUAGGACCAGAGUAGAAGCAUUAGACUUGGAAAGGAAAGGGCCUGAGGCAGUAUGGAGAAAUUGGAGUCACUUAUGUCCCUGGGAGAGACAAGGGUACUUCUAUGUCCAUAUGGUAGCCACUAGCCAUUUGUGGCCAUUGAACAUUUGAAAUGUGGCUAAUUGUGGAUUGAGAUGUGCUAAAGUAUAAAAUACAUAUCAGAUUCUGAGGAUUUAGUAUUAAAAAAUGUGAAAUAUAUCAUAAAAUAUAUUUACUAGUUGAAAUGGCAAUAUUUUGGAUAUGUUGAGUUAAAUACAUUAUUAUUAAUUCCACCUCUUUCCUUUUCCUGUGGUUAAUAGAGAAUGUAGAAUUACAUAUGAAUUUGCAUUAUAUUUCUGUUAGUCUACAAGGAUUGUUCUAGAAGGUGCUAGGAAGUGAUUUGAUCAGCAGUGUGAGAGGAGCAGAGACUCCCAUGACUAGUUACUAAGAACCCAACAUCCAUGGUUUUUAACCUUUUCUCUGCCCCAGCACAGCAAAGGGGUGUGACACGUUAUAGUCCAUAACUGGCUCACGGGAGCAGUGAUUCUUUUUUAUUUAUUUAUUUUUUAAAUAUUUUUUUUUAACAUUUAUUUAUUUUUGAGACAGAGCAUGAACGGGGGAGGGUCAGAGAGAGGGAGACACAGAAUCUGAAACAGGCUCCAGGCUCCGAGCUGUCAGCACAGAGCCUGACGCGGGGCUCGAACCCACGAACUGUGAGAUCAUGACCUGAGCCGAGGUCGGCCGCUCAACUGACUAAGCCACCCAGGCGCCCCACGAGAGCAGUGAUUCUUGACCAGUGAGAUCAGAAUCUCUCGCAAGAAGGGAAGAGAGGGGAGGCAGGAAGGGUUUUUAAGACUUGUAGGUAAUUUAACACACUGAGAAACCCAGUAUGAAGACCAAGGAUGUGCUGAGUAUGCUGCACACAUUGUAAUAGUUGCCACUGUCCUUAACCAACUAUGUUCCAUCUACAGAAGAAAAGCCUUAAGCCCCCUCCACUCGCCAAGCUGAAUUUUUCUUAGCAGCAGAAAUGGGGGCGUAGGUUGUAUGUUUCUGGGUAAGUCGGUUGUAAUGCUGCCUGCGGCAGGUUCUUAGUACGUACAACCCGCUGUGGAUCUGCUACCUCCCCUAAAGUGCCGCAGCUAAAUCACAGCAUGGCACAAGGUUUCUCCAGUGUAAAAGUUGAGAAGGCAUGGAAAUCAGAAGAGAGAAUCAUCUUAGUUUUGCCACCCAUCGAUUCUAGGGCCUUGAGCAAGUCCCUCCACUUUUCCUGGACUCAGUUUCCCACAUAUUAAGUGAUGGACUUAUGAAGACCCUUUACUGCUGUCACAAAGUCAGGGACAUUUUCUGGCCUUCUGCUGCUCCCACCCCCCUUCCUUAAAGCCCCCUCCAGGCCUCCCUGUUGGCCUGCCCUGCCAACUAGGAACUCCUGCCUGUCAUGAGGGACAUUGUCUGGUGCUGGCAUCGACGUGGAACCACAUUCACCGUUGGUCCACAGAAACGGGGUGCUCACUUCUGUCUCUGCCUGCCAGUGGCCAAGUGCCACUCCUCCUCGUACAUGGACAACACCAUGGGCUUUUCUCCCCAGUUUUUAUAUUCAUUUCAAUCUACCUUGCAGCAGAAGUUGAAAAAAGGAGAGCUAUCUUUGGGGUCCUGCUCCUUUAUGGGAGGAUGAAACAAGCUCAUUGCCUUUUCUAUGCAACUAAUUGGGGGGAUUAAAUCCAUCUAUAAGAAAAUAUGUAUUUAUAGGACAACCAAGUCUUCAAAUUUACACAUUCUUUUUUUCCAAAGUUUAUUUACUUAUUUUUGAGAGAGACAGAGACAGCAUGAGUGGGGGAGAGGCAGAGAGAUAGAUAGAGAGAGAGAGAGAGAGAGAGAGAGAGAGAGAGAGAGAGAGAGAGAAUCCCAAGCAGGAUCCACACUGUCACCACAGAGCCCGGUGCGGGGCUCAAACUCACGAAACUGUGAGAUCAUGACCUGAGCCAAAACCAAGAGUUGGACGCUUAACCGACUGAGCCACCCAGGCGCCCCAAAUCCUACUUAUAGGGUAUGUUUCAUGAAUAUGUUCUAGAGGCUUUGUGGAAUAAGAUCAUACAGCAGCCGAUCUAGAAUUUAUGUGAAAGGUUAACGAUUGAGUCAAUGUUAUCACAGAGCCAUUUCUUUGGUUUCUAACCCCAGCACUUCCCAGAUUGUUUGUCCUUCCUUAUAGCACAAGAGGGUGGUGUUCUACCUCUCCUUCCCAAACGCCACUUAGUUCACCAGUCUCCUCAGCUGUCAAGUGAACAUUGAAUUAAAAUGUCUGAAGUUCCUUCCAGCUUCAACAUUCUUCGGGUCUCUAAACAGGAUCUCAAAGGGGCAAAGCCCCUGACUCAGUCUCUCUCCUUUUCCACCCUGUGCUCAUUGAUAAGCAGUAACAUAGCCAAAGGCAUGGUUGUAAAAGAGAUGAAUACAAGUGAAAAUGUUAGAAACAUUAGAAGCGCUGAAGUAAUUUGUCGGCACCUGUGUGGCUCAGUCGGUUGAGCAUCCAACUCUUGAUUUUGGCUCCUCUGUCUUCCUCCCAUCCCCCACUCAUGCAUGUGCUCUCUCGUUGUCUCUAAAAUAAAAAAAAAAAAAAAGGAAAGAUGAGAAACAAAAUCAGCGCUCGAGUAAUUUGAAUUAUAGGAUUUUGUUAUUACCACAUCCUGCCCACUUUUUUGAUCCCUGUUGUAAAACAUCACUGCAUCAAUUUACUUACCCAUCUGCUCUCUCCCCUUUAGUGGGUCUUGUUGGGGGUUGUGGACCAAUAUCCCCUCCUAUGAUGAAUCAGAGAAACAGGCAUUAGACAUUUCUCAGGGGAGCCCUGCCUUCUAUGUAGUACCAGAUCCCCUGAGAAGCUGGCCUGUUGGGGUUUAGCAGCUAUACUCCCUCCCUCUUAUUCUAAGGUGCCCCCAAGGCCCUUCCUACUGGUGGAGUUGGGGCACUUUUCAUGGACACAUACCCUUGGUACUUUUUGAGUUAGGUGUUAAUAACAAAGAUAUUCCCAAAAGACUGGGACACAGACAUAAACACAUACUAGAGUUCAUAGGAUUUCUCAUAGACCAGGAGAUUCUGUGGUAAAGCAUAAAUAGUCUCAACGAACCACAGGUCACACUCGUUAGGCUGGCUACCAUCAAAAGAAAAAAAAAGGAAGGAAGACAAAUAACAAGUGUUGGUGAGGAUGUGGAGAAAUUUGGACACUUAUGCACUACUGGUGGGAAUGUUGGUGGGACGGUAGAAUGCUGUUAAACACUUAUGUACUGUUGGUGGGAAUGUAAAAUGGGAACGCACAGUUGGUGGCAUGAAAGGGUGAACAAAAUGCAGUACACACAUAAGUGGAAUAUCAGCCUUAAAAAGGACAGAAAUUCUGGCACAUGCUACAACACGGAUGAACCUUAAGAACAUUUGUAGAAUGAGCCAGUCACCAAAAGACAAAUACUGCAUGCUUCCACUUAUAUGAGGUAACUAUGUAGUCAAAAUUAUAGAGACAGAAAGUGGAAUGGUGGCUGCCAGGGGCUGGAGGAGGCGAGAUGGGGCUUAGUGCCUAAUGGGUGUAGUUUCAGUUUUGCAAGAUGAAAAGAGUUGUGUGGUUGGGAGUGGGGUGAUGGUGGCUCAACAACGUGAAUGUACUUAAUGCCACUCAGCUGUCCAUUUAAAAGUAGUUAAAUGGUAAGUUUUAUAUAUUUUUUAAAAAUAUAGUUUUUAGUGUUUUUAUUUAUUUUUGAGAGAGAGAGAGCACACACAAGAGUGGGUUAGGGGCAGAGACAGAGGGGGACAGAUGAUCCGCAACGGGCUCUGCGCUGACAGCAGCAAGCCCAGCGUGGGGUUCGAGCUCAUGAACCGUGAGAUCGUGACCUGAGCCAAAGUCGGAUGCCCCACUGACUGAUCCCCCCAGGCGCCCCCAGAGUUUAUAUAUAUAUAUAUAUAUAUUUUUUUUU